GACCCAUAUUAUAUUAGGGUUUUAAUCUGCAUCGCCCCUAUCGAGCUCUCUCCUCCUUCCUCGCUCUUCGUCUCCUGCAAACUCAGACCCCCAUCUUUGUAACGUCUCCCGUUUCUGUAAUUCAUCUAUUUUAACCUCAUCAUUUACUUCAAACCCACUACUCAUCCCACUCUCUCUGAAUUAAACAGCUUCAUUAUCAUCAAAGGUUAUCGCUUGAAGCUCUUCUCUAUAAAUCGGUUCCUUCCCUGCGAUGAAUAGCUGCAGUUCUACGAAAUCCCUAAGUAAAAACUUCAUCAAGCUUCGAUUCCAGCAAUGGCUUCUUCCUACACGAUUCAUGAGAUCGGUCUGUGUUUGGUUCGACUUCUCCGAUUUGAGAGGCUCGGGAUGUCAGGAGAGAUGGCGAACUGAUGAGUAGCGACAUUCUUUUCCUGGAUGAGAAGGGCGGUUAUUCCUCAAUGGGACUUUUGGAACCGACAUCUACUUCGACACUGAGACGGAUGCGGAAAAGGAGCACUAUGCAAAGUUUUUUGGAGAUGGCUCAAACCAGACAGCCUCUUCAUCAAAACUGAUUCAUGCUCAGAAGAUAGACCCCUCACUGUCUCUGAGCUUAACCAAUCUGUCUUAACAGCUGAUCCUCAGAUAAUCGAGUUCCUCUGUACUGCCAAAGUAAUACAGUCUGAAAAAGGGGGUGUUAUAUUGGCAGCAGUGGAUGUUCUCAGAAGGUUGUGAAGGAGAUUUCUUCUUUCACGUGCUUUUUUUUUGUGAUAACACAAGCGCUAUGGCUUCCCCCAGGUACCAUGUGGAACUAUCUGCAGCAGAUCAGACAGAUGAUGCUCUAUUUGUUGCUUUUGAUAUGGAAAUGGUUAAGUUGACCAACAUUCAAACUUGAAGAGCAUCCCAAGACUCAGCGUGCACCACUCCCAGACUUUGUAGGCGAUGGUGAUCAACAUGAGCAAGUCCAGAAUCCAAUAGCAAGUAUGGUCCCUGCUGGUAACAGUAGCACUGUUGUUGAGAUCGUUGAUGAUUUGGCAGCGAAACUUGGUGAAACUACAGAUGUGAACCAUCAAACUCCCUCAUCUACUGUACCAGAAGGGGGGCGUCCAGCAUCAAGCACACCACCUGUUGAUCGAUAUGAGAGUGAAAAGAAGAAGCUACGGUUGGCAUAGAGCCACCUGAGAGUUACAACCCACCAAUACAUUUACUUAUGUAUUGAUGUCGUUCUUUUGCAUUUGCUUUUCGUCUAGAGUUUUUGCAACUUCGUGUUUUUUUAAAUAAAACUAUGUGGUGGUGUUUUACUUAUUAAUGCAAGUUUUUCUCUUUA